rnacentral:ncRNA from 2 species
GCGAUCUUGUUGGGAGAAUCCAGCUUCGAGCUGGUGCCGAAGGAGCAACCGCCCCGGAAACUCUCAGGCCCACGAACCAGCAGGA